UUUAAGUUGGAGUAAAGAAAAAAGAUUUAAUUAUAACUCAUUUUAUUAAUCUAGUUUUGUAAAAUAAUUUUUAUAUUUAAAUUUACAAAUCAAGCAACUGAUAAAAUUUUAUUUUUUAAAGAUGUCACUUUUGGUGCUUCCAUUUCGAUCGAUCCAAUCUGUUAUAUCAAAACAAACACUUAGGCUGCGUUUGGUUUGGGUAUAAGUAAGAACUGCUAGUUCCAGGAAUAGGUACAAGUUCAGGUAUUAGCAGGAACUAGACCAAUUUUACGUUUGGAUGAAAAUUGGGUUGUUCCUAGGAAUAAGAUAAAUAGUAUUUGGAUGGUUAGAUUGGAACAAGAGGAAUAAGAAUUAUAAUUUGAAAUUAGAAUUAUAUUAUGUAAUUAAUUAACACCAAAAUAUUAUUUAAAAAUAAAUAAUAAAUUAAUUAUUAAUAAUUAAUUAUAAAUAAUAAUAAUUAUUAGUAAUUAAUUAUAAAUAAUAAAUUAAAAAUAUCGAUUAUCUAAUAAUAAUAAUAAUAAUAAUAAUAAUUAAUUAUUUAUAAAUAAUAAUAAUUAUUAAUUAUUCUUAUUAAUUAAUUAUAAAUAAUAAAUUAAUAAUAAUAUUGAUUAUCUAAUUAUUAAUAAUAAUUAAUAUUAAUAUUUAUUAAUAAAUAAUAAUAAUUAUUANUAUAAAUAAUAAAUUAAUAAUAAUUAUCUAAUUAUUAACAAUUAAUUAUAAGUAAUAAAUUAAUAAUAAUAAUUAUCUAAUUAUUAAUAAUUAAUUAUAAAUAAUAAAUAAAUUAAUUAUUUAAUUAUUAAAAUAAUAAAUAAUGAUUUAAAUAUAUUAAUUAGAUUAAUUAAUAAUUUACUACCUUUAAAAUUAAAUUUAGAUUUUAAUUAACCUAGUUCUCAUCAAGGAACAAGCUAGUUCCAGAAAACGGAUAGAACAUCAGUUUCAACCUUAUACCAAUUUGUUUCAGAAAUUUGAAAAUUACUGUUCACAAAAAUCGAACGUACUGUUU
rnacentral:lncRNA from 1 species